rnacentral:rRNA from 1 species
AAAUCAGGUAGGAUUACCCGCUGGAA